rfam:Camelus ferus unplaced genomic scaffold scaffold1340, whole genome shotgun sequence.
GAGGGUAGAGCUUAGUGGUAGAGUGCAUACUUAGCAUGCACAAGAUCCUGGGUUCAAUCCCCAGUGCCUCCA